AACGAACGCUGGCGGCAUGCCUAACACAUGCAAGUCGAACGAAGCCUUCGGGCUUAGUGGCGCACGGGUGCGUAACGCGUGGGAAUCUGCCCUUGGGUUCGGAAUAACAGUUAGAAAUGACUGCUAAUACCGAAUGAUGUCUUCGGACCAAAGAUUUAUCGCCCAAGGAUGAGCCCGCGUCGGAUUAGCUAGUUGGUGAGGUAAAGGCUCACCAAGGCGACGAUCCGUAGCUGGUUUGAGAGGAUGAUCAGCCACACUGGGACUGAGACACGGCCCAGACUCCUACGGGAGGCAGCAGUGGGGAAUAUUGGACAAUGGGCGAAAGCCUGAUCCAGCAAUGCCGCGUGAGUGAUGAAGGCCUUAGGGUUGUAAAGCUCUUUUACCCGGGAUGAUAAUGACAGUACCGGGAGAAUAAGCCCCGGCUAACUCCGUGCCAGCAGCCGCGGUAAU
rnacentral:rRNA from 1 species